rnacentral:rRNA from 1 species
GACGAACGCUGGCGGCGUGCUUAACACAUGCAAGUCGAACGGAAAGGCCCUGCUUUUGUUGGGUGCUCGUUUGGCGAACGGGUGAGUAUCACGUGAGUAACCUGCCCUUGACUUUGGGAUAACUUCAGGAAACUGGGUCUCAUACCGGAUAUGAUCUUCUGCUCCAUGGUGUUCGUUGGAUAGUUUCGGCGGUUGUGGAUCGACUCGCUGCUUAUGAGCUUGUUUGUGGGGUAGUUGCUUACCAAGGCUUUGACGGAUAGCCUGCCUGAGAGGGUGACCGGCGACAUGAGGACUGAGGUACGGAGCAGAAGGCAACGGGAGGCAGCAGGGGGGAAUAUUGCAGAAUGGGCGGAAGCCUGAUGCAGCAACGCCGCGUGCGGGAUGACGGCCUUCGGGUGGUGAACAGCUUUCGCCGGUGACGAAGAGUGAGUGACGGUAAUGAGUAAAAAAGCAACGGCUAACUACGUG